rnacentral:rRNA from 1 species
GAUGAACGCUAGCGGCAGGCUUAACACAUGCAAGUCGAGGGGUAGAGGUUGCUUGCAACCUUGAGACCGGCGCACGGGUGCGUAACGCGUAUGCAACCUACCUUUUACAGAGGGAUAGCCCAGAGAAAUUUGGAUUAAUACCUCAUAGUAUAUAACCUUCGCAUGUUGGUUAUAUUAAAGUUCCAACGGUAAAAGAUGGGCAUGCGUCCUAUUAGCUAGAUGGUAAGGUAACGGCUUACCAUGGCAACGAUAGGUAGGGGUCCUGAGAGGGAGAUCCCCCACACUGGUACUGAGACACGGACCAGACUCCUACGGGAGGCAGCAGUGAGGAAUAUUGGACAAUGGGCGCAGGCCUGAUCCAGCCAUGCCGCGUGCAGGAAGAAGCAUCUAUGGUGUGUAAACUGCUUUUGUACAGGAAGAAACACCCCGACGUGUCGGGGCUUGACGGUACUGUAAGAAUAAGGAUCGGCUAACUCCGUGCCAGCAGCCGCAGUAA